CUACGGAGGGUGCAAGCGUUAUCCGGAUUCAUUGGGUUUAAAGGGUUCGCAGGCGGCGUAUUAAGUCAGUGGUGAAAUCCCGAGGCUCAACCUCGGAACUGCCAUUGAUACUGGUAUGCUAGAGUAUAGUUGGCGUUGGCGGAAUGUAUCAUGUAGCGGUGAAAUGCUUAGAUAUGAUACAGAACACCGAUCGCGAAGGCAGCUAACGAAACUAUAACUGACGCUCAGGAACGAAAGCGUGGGGAGCGAACAGAAUUAGAAACCCUAGUAGUCC
rnacentral:rRNA from 1 species